rnacentral:pre_miRNA from 1 species
UCGGCCAAUCAUGACCGGACGACCACAGCGACGCUUUCGAUCGCGCACGUCGCCUAUUGGCGACGUGCGCGAUCGAAAGCGACGCUGCGGUCGGCCGGCCAUGAUUGGCCG